rnacentral:rRNA from 1 species
GAUGAACGCUGGCGGCGUGCCUAAUACAUGCAAGUCGAGCGAACAGAUAAGGAGCUUGCUCCUUUGACGUUAGCGGCGGACGGGUGAGUAACACGUGGGUAACCUACCUAUAAGACUGGAAUAACUCCGGGAAACCGGGGCUAAUGCCGGAUAACAUUUAGAACCGCAUGGUUCUAAAGUGAAAGAUGGUUUUGCUAUCACUUAUAGAUGGACCCGCGCCGUAUUAGCUAGUUGGUAAGGUAACGGCUUACCAAGGCAACGAUACGUAGCCGACCUGAGAGGGUGAUCGGCCACACUGGAACUGAGACACGGUCCAGACUCCUACGGGAGGCAGCAGUAGGGAAUCUUCCGCAAUGGGCGAAAGCCUGACGGAGCAACGCCGCGUGAGUGAUGAAGGUCUUCGGAUCGUAAAACUCUGUUAUUAGGGAAGAGCAAAUGUGUAAGUAACUGUGCACGUCUUGACGGUACCUAAUCAGAAAGCCACGGCUAACUACGUG